rnacentral:rRNA from 1 species
UACGAAGGGGGCUAGCGUUGCUCGGAAUCACUGGGCGUAAAGCGCACGUAGGCGGAUCGUUAAGUCGGAGGUGAAAUCCUGGAGCUCAACUCCAGAACUGCCUUCGAUACUGGCGAUCUUGGAGUCCGGGAGAGGUGAGUGGAACUGCGAGUGUAGAGGUGAAAUUCGUAGAUAUUCGCAAGAACACCAGUGGCGAAGGCGGCUCACUGGCCCGAUACUGACGCUGAGGCACGAAAGCGUGGGGAGCAAACAGG